CAGUCGCCGCGGUAAUACGAAGGGGGCUAGCGUUGUUCGGAUUUACUGGGCGUAAAGGGCGCGUAGGCGGACUGAUAAGUCAGGGGUGAAAUCCCAAGGCUCAACCUUGGAACUGCCUUUGAUACUGUUUGUCUUGGGUUCGAGAGAGGUAAGUGGAACUGCGAGUGUAGAGGUGAAAUUCGUAGAUAUUCGCAAGAACACCAGUGGCGAAGGCGGCUUACUGGCUCGAUACUGACGCUGAGGCGCGAAAGCGUGUGGAGCAAACAGGAUUAGAUACCCGAGUAGUCCCUGUCUCUUAUAC
rnacentral:rRNA from 1 species